UCAUGUAAUUGAAACACUUUUAGCUUAGAAAAGAGCAGAGCAGAGGGUAACUAGCUCAGAAUUUUUAGUUGGUGGCAUGUAUUUAUGAGAUGGAAAAGUCUAUGUCUGAGAGGGGACAGAGGCUUAUCUUCUAGCGUGGAAAGGAGAAGGGGAUGGAAGAAUCACUGAAGAGGAGAAUACAGACCAAUCUCACUCCCGUGACCCCACCCAGAAGUGAUUCAAUGCAAGAGGACAGCUUGGAUCUCCUAUGACUUCAUCUCUGCCCCAACCCAUCAGCAGCAAGCACUCAUUGCCUAGCAACCACCGGCCCUUACCCCACACUGUCUUUGAAAAGCUCCUGCUUAUGAGCCUUGGAUGAGACUGAUUUGAGUGUUAACUCCACCUCCCACGUGGCGUGGCUGGCCUCCUGUCUGUGAAACUCUUUCUUUAUUGCAGUGUUGUGGUCUUUAUUUGCGCAGUGGGCAGGAAGAACCCCUUGGGUAGUUACAAAAGGUCACCUGGAAAUGAAGUGACAACUAAUUAGGUAUGAAUCAACAUGGUGAGCAAAGGUCAGGGGAGAGGUUCACACUGCGGUGAUGGAUGGUCUCAAGGGGUUGGGUCGGAUUUGCAGUAAAAGAGAUUUUCCUGGAAUCUGAGUGAUGAAGAAUAACUUGCAAAUGCAAACUUGUUUCUCCUGCUGAUGCGUUCCUAGUCUAUAAUUGAAGAAGUGUGGGUCUGCUGUCUCAUUAUGGUAAAGUCUACACUUAGGAAACCCUCAGACAUACUCUUUGAUCAAAAUGAUGCUCAUAACAUUCUGUUUUUUCAAGGCCGAAGGAUCAGUGCCCCCCGCCCCACUCUUGUCCAUUACCGAGAGCAUCCUCACAGUCCAUUGGAAAGUCCAUCAUGAAGUAACGAAUUUGUUCUCUGUGUUUAUCACCUGAAUAAUAGAUUCAGGGCCCAUCAUCUCCUGGAAAGCUAUUAAUCAUACACUGCAGUGUGGCACAGGUUUGAUGGGUUGGCCUCAAAACCAUGCCUGGCUGGAUUGGAAUUGUGGAUGAUGUUCAAUAACUGCCUUCAGAAACUAUUCAAGACAUUUAAUGAAGACACUUUUUUCUCCAUGUUUCUCUUAGGGACAAAAAAUAUAGCCAAUAGCUUUUUCCUCCUGAUUGCAAGUGCUUUCCGAAAUCCUCUGUCUUCUUAAUGGAAGAAGAUUUCUAUCUUGGCUCCUAUUAUUUGAGAGAUGUGAAAAGCAGAUUCUCCAAAUAUAUGUGAGAAACAAAACAAAAAAACCAUUUAUGAAAAGUACAAAAAGUCGCACACAUAAUAAAAGCUAAGCCCUUCCUUUCUUCCUCCUUGGUUAACUUUGGAGCCUUGAUAAAAGACAAUCUGAACAAAGAGCUCUUUAGAACAACUACAAAAAGUUUCACAAAUGCAGCGAGCAAUUACAAACUCUGUUUCAAUGGGCCUCAGAGCCACACAUAGAGAGCCAGGGUUGCCCAAGGCCGUUUCCAAGAACAUUUCUGAAGUUGGGCUUAAAACAAUUUGUUUCCAUUAUCUUUUACUCAAGGUGGGUUCUGGAAUAAUCUAUGGAAUCAUUUGCAAAAUUCAGCAUAAACUUCUCCUUGCAGAAACUCUGGUGACAUAUCAUUUGGCUGAAUCUCACAUGAUAGAUACUAAUGAGAAAUGCGAGCAUGGGUUUGAUAUAGUAUGGGCUUCCUUUUUGUAGCUAAGACAAGCCAAUUCCUGAGAAGACAUGGAUUAAAAAAAAUUGUGUCAUAUUCAUCAUUAGACACCCUUGUAUUUAAUCUACUGUACAUGUCUAAAUAAAAUUGCAAAGUGACAGGAUUCAACUUCGCAUUAAUCAUCACUUGAAAAUGGGGAGAGUGAGAAAGGAUGGCAUCUCCUUGGGGCCCAUGGACAAGGAGAAGUUUCAAAUUAUUAAGCAGAGAAAACGGAAUGUGGCUUUGCAAAGGCAAGUCAGAGCAAGCUCGCUCCAGUCUGGAGUUGUUCAAAAGGUAUAGCAGUGGCGGCAGCUGAAAAAAACCUUGAUUCUAUGAACUCACUCACGCAAUUUAAAGUCCAAAGCAUGGCUUCAUAUGUUUGAAAAACUCUAGUAUAUAGUGUGCAUUUUAAUUAUAAAAGUCAAUCAGCCAGGCACGGUGGCUCACACCUGUA
rnacentral:lncRNA from 1 species